rnacentral:rRNA from 1 species
UACGUAGGGUGCAAGCGUUAAUCGGAAUUACUGGGCGUAAAGCGUGCGCAGGCGGUUUUGUAAGUUUGUCGUGAAAGCCCCGGGCUCAACCUGGGAAUUGCGAUGAAGACUGCAAGGCUUGAAUCUGGCAGAGGGGGGGUAGAAUUCCACGUGUAGCAGUGAAAUGCGUAGAGAUGUGGAGGAAUACCGAUGGCGAAGGCAGCCCCCCUGGGCCAAUACUGACGCUCAUGCACGAAAGCGUGGGGAGCAAACAGG